UGGGGAAUAUUGGACAAUGGGCGCAAGCCUGAUCCAGCCAUGCCGCGUGAGUGACGAAGGUCUUCGGAUUGUAAAGCUCUUUUGGCGGGGAAGAUAAUGACGGUACCCGCAGAAUAAGCCCCGGCUAACUUCGUGCCAGCAGCCGCGGUAAUACGAAGGGGCGUAGCGUUGUUCGGAAUCACUGGGCGUAAAGCGCACGUAGGCGGAUGUGCCAGUCAGGGUGAAAUCCCGGAGCUCAACUUCGGAACUGCCUCUGAUACAGCACGUCUUGAGUCCGGAAGAGGUGGGUGGAAUUCCUAGUGUAGAGGUGAAAUUCGUAGAUAUCAGGAGGAACACCGAUGGCGAAGGCAGGUCUCUGGGCCAUUACUGACACUGAGAAGCGAAAGCAUGGGGAGCGAACAGGAUUAGAUACCC
rnacentral:rRNA from 1 species